rnacentral:rRNA from 1 species
UACAGAGGGUGCAAGCGUUGUUCGGAAUUAUUGGGCGUAAAGGGCGCGUAGGCGGUGCCACAAGUCACCUGUGAAAUCUCCGGGCUUAACUCGGAGCCUGCGAGGCGAAACUGUGGUGCUGGAGUGUGGGAGAGGUGCGUGGAAUUCCCGGUGUAGCGGUGAAAUGCGUAGAUAUCGGGGAGGAACACCUGUGGCGAAAGCGGCGCACUGGACCAAUAACUGACGC